rnacentral:rRNA from 1 species
UACGGGGGGGGCAAGCGUUGUUCGGAAUUACUGGGCGUAAAGGGCUCGUAGGUGGCCAACUAAGUCAGACGUGAAAUCCCUCGGCUUAACCGGGGAACUGCGUCUGAUACUGGAUGGCUUGAGAUUGGGAGAGGGACGCGGAAUUCCAGGUGUAGCGGUGAAAUGCGUAGAUAUCAGGAAGAACACCCGUGGCGAAAGCGGCUCUCUGGAACGGUACUGACGCUGAGACGCGAAAGCGUGGGGAGCGAACAGG